AUGGAAAAGCUCGGGGCUGGAGAUGGGGCAGCCGGGCCAGGUCCUGUCCAGAGGCUUCCCGAGGGAUCCCCAGCACCUCGCCAGCGCCUGCCCCACGGUCUUGGCUCUGCUGGAGCUUCUCCCGGGAAAAGGGGGCGCAGGAAAAGGGUGGGGGGACACCCGGGGUGGGAAGCACUGGGCAGCGGCGUGGGGCAGGGAGAAACGCCCGAUGUUCCCGGGCAGGUGGGAUCGCUGGGGCAGAGCGAUCCCGGGGGCCCAGCCCCGAGCCCACAAGCGGAGCAGGGGAGUUCUUGGGCAGCUCCACACCCGGCUGGGCUCACCCCAGAGCUUGGGAACAAUCCCGGGUUUCCCCUUUUUGGGGACCCACACCCCACAGCCCGCAGCCGCGUUCUGCGAUGGAAGCCGUGCGGGCUUUGGGAUGCGCCCGGGGCAGGAAGAGGAGGGUGUGGGAGGAAGAACGGAAAGGACCGAGCCCUCCCGCGGGAGGAAGAGCAGGAUCCUGGAAAACCCUUUCUGGGCUUUUUUUUCCCAAGCUGUCCCUAUUUCCAACACCUUUUUUUUUUCUCAGGAGCCACCUCCAGCAGUGCCACAAGAAAACCCCCGAGCGUCUCUCGUGUCCCUGUGCUGCUUCCCCCUUGCUCCAGACCGGCGGAGCUCCGCGGAUUCUCCUUUUUUCCCCCGAUUAUUACUAUUAUUAUUAAUUCCAACGCUGGCUGUAAUAAAAAGAAAACACCAACUUUUCCUCCCCUGAGGAGGCUCCAAUUUUUCCCCCCAGGGCUGUGUCCCAGCCCCUCUGUCCACGACCUUCCCAUGGAGCAACUCCACUCCCACGGGACAGGGAACCUUGCCAAAAAAACGUCUGGAAAAAAACCAAGAUCCAAGAAAAAAAUUAAAAAAACACCUGCCAAGGCAGGGGAGGGCAGUGGGAGUCCAAGGGUGAAAAAUCCAGCGGGAUCUCUCCCCGAGAAUGCCAAAGGAAUUACAGAGUCACCUCAAAGCAAAGCGUCCGACAGCCCGGGGAGGGGGAGUUUAGGGAUUCUGCUGGAAAAUGAGAUCCGGGAAGGGGAGGAGAGCUCGGGCAUCGUCUGCCGUGCCCCAGAGGGGCCGACCUGCUCCAGGAUAAGGCAUCAGAGGGACCACGCCAUGGUCGCAGCAACAUCUCUCCUCUCUCAAACGAACACAUUUUAUAUUUUUAUAUAUAUAAUAAUAAUAUAG
rnacentral:lncRNA from 1 species